rnacentral:rRNA from 1 species
UACGUAGGGGGCAAGCGUUGUCCGGAUUUACUGGGUGUAAAGGGUGCUCAGGCGGGUUUGUAAGUCAGUGGUGAAAUCCCGGGGCUUAACUCCGGAACUGCCAUAGAAACUGCAAGCCUAGAGUACGGAAGAGGUUGAUGGAAUAUCUGGUGUAGCAGUGAAAUGCGUAGAUAUCAGAUAGAACACCAAUGGCGAAGGCAGUCAACUGGCCCGUUACUGACGCUAAAGCACGAAAGUGUGGGGAGCGAACAGGAUUAGAUACCCUGGUAGUCCACACCCUAAACGAUGAGUACUAGACGUUGGGCCUUUUAAGGUUCAGUGUCUGAGCUAACGCAUUAAGUACUCCACCUGGGAAGUACGAUCGCAAGGUUGAA